UUCUAAAGCUAAAUAUUUAUGGGAAACCGAUAGCAAACAAGUACUACGAAGGAAAGAUGAAAAGAACUUUGAAAAGAGGGUUAAAAGACUUGAAAUCGUUGAGGAGAAAAGCGGUAGAAGAGAAAUGAUUUCAUUUAGAAGUAUGUAGUUUUGUAGGUGUCUUCUGUGGUAAUGGUACUUCAUAGGGCCUAGCUAUAGACCGGCAUCGCAUUGCUGCUUUUUCUGGAUGAAGUGCAAAAUGAGGUCUCGCUUGCGGAAACGUCUCUAGGGAGGACUCUGGCCUUGACGCUGGAAAGCCCUGGUCUCCAACGCAAGCCUGGCCUGAGGCCUGCAUCUGCGGAUUUUGCAAAAAAGGCUUCUACUGACCCGUCUUGAACCACGGACCAAA
rnacentral:rRNA from 1 species